CCCUUCGUGGUGUAGUGGUCAGCAUGUUGGACGCAUAUUCAAGAGGUCCGUGGUUCGAGUCCCGGCGAGGGCA
rnacentral:tRNA from 1 species